rnacentral:rRNA from 1 species
CUGCCUGCCCGGUGACAUUAGUUAAACGGCCGCGGUAUUCUGACCGUGCAAAGGUAGCAUAAUCAUUUGUUCUCUAAAUAAGGACUUGUAUGAAAGGCCACACGAGGGUUUAACUGUCUCUUACUUCCAAUCAGUGAAAUUGACCUUCCCGUGAAGAGGCGGGAAUAAAGCAAUAAGACGAGAAGACCCUAUGGAGCUUUAAUUAACUAGCUCAAAAGAAUCUAUCUACCAGACCGACAGGAACAACAUACUCCUUCCAUGAGCUAACAAUUUAGGUUGGGGCGACCUCGGAGCACAAAACAACCUCCGAGUGAUAUCAAUCUAGACGUACCAGUCAAAAUGCUCACUUACUUAUUGAUCCAAAAACCUCUUUGAUCAACGGAACAAGUUACCCUAGGGAUAACAGCGCAAUCCUAUUUAAGAGUCCAUAUCGACAAUAGGGUUUACGACCUCGAUGUUGGAUCAGGACAUCCUAAUGGUGCAGCAGCUAUUAAGGGUUCGUUUGUUCAACGAUUAAAGUCCUACGUGAUCUGAG